GUAAUGCCCGGUUGGCACUCAAAAAGGAGCAGCCCGGCACUGGCUAAUUUUGGGAUCUCUCUCCUGUGCUCGGCAGGUGAAGCUGGGUUCGGGAUGGACCAGAGCGACAAAUCAUUUCAGAUGCCGAAUAUGGGGAUCACAGACCAGAGAUGAAAGAGCUUAAUUGUCCUCCAGCAUAUGGCUGAGCGGCAACCGGAACUUGGCCUAGGAUUUGAACCAGGCUUGCCCGCCUUACAGACUCCCCCUCUUCCUCAUGCUCCCCCGCCCACUUUUUCUGUCUGAAAUAGACCUUGGAUGAACAUCUUAGGCUUCUCACUCCACAGUGCUUCACCAGCUACUGUACAUUUCGCACAACUUCAUUCCUCGACACACCGUCGUGAUUAUUAAUAGAGAUUACUAAUCCUUCCUCUUUCGAAUUUGAGAUGAGAAUCUGGGACGAAAGAAUUGUACUGGGACAGCAUGAUUAAUGCAGAGGAAAACUGGUAGAGCCUCGAUUGACACUUGCACCGAGCCUUUCAGGUGUGGAUACACUCACUCUCUCACUGUCGAGAUGGUUACAAGUUGGCUCCACAAUAGAAAAUGAAUGCACCUCUUGUUAUACACUACAGAGAUAUGAUAUUCAGAGACCCCUGCAGAGCACAUUAAGUGUUUUACUGCCUCGCCAUCCUUUCAGUGUUGCUGCCCAGUCUACUCACCCUUCUUCCCAUUUCAGGUGUAGUUCACGGCUUGUGCUCUUACAAGCAUUUCGUGAACCCUAGCAACCAAUUCGUCCAAAGAACAGAGGAUAAAAUUUAAAAUAUCUAUAUAUAUAUAUAUAUAUUCAAAACCUUAAAUCUCUCGUUUCUUUCCUCCUCAUUUCUUUCUCCUUUGUGACAGCCAAGUUGCCAGAAGUAGGCUAUUAAAGAUUGUUUUUGUACUACUUCUGUCUUGGGACUCUCCCUACAGCAAUCACGCUCAUUACCUGUACUCUCUCAGUUCAUGCUGGAUAGUCUUUGGUGGAGUCUCCCAUGACAUAUUCGGGGGAAAGUAGUGGAUUACAUAUAUAAAUGCAUUUUUAAAAUGA